AAGAGCACUCCCUGCUUCUAGUGAGCAAAGGCAGCCCCCCUUGAGCUUCUAUAGCCCUUCUUAUUUAUUGGGUAACAAGAGCAAGGAGGAGGAGAGUUCUGCAAGGAGAUUGGAAGAAAAUGUGAGGACUGAGCCCAUAAGAAUAUUUUUCUUUCUGUUUUUAUCAGGGGGCAUUUUGACUAUCAGCAUUUUUAUUUACUUGCUCUGGCUUUGGCAUGAUUUGCUAUUGGAGAGAUAUAACAGUAUUGUUUUUCUUCUGAUGGAGACAAAAUAUUCAUUUAUAAUCCUGCCGCCCUGCCGCACCCCGCCCCCUUCUGCCACCACCAAGUGAUCAUCCAGCUGACACUUGAGGAACUUUGAUGAUGAGGAGUUCAUCAGUCAUUGGUCAGACUAUUAAAUCUUUCCACAGCUUA
rnacentral:lncRNA from 1 species